rnacentral:rRNA from 1 species
UCGCGCCUACCAUGCAGUCGAACGAACUCUUCGGAGUUAGUGGCGGACGGGUGAGUAACACGUGGGAACGUGCCUUUAGGUUCGGAAUAACUCAGGGAAACUUGUGCUAAUACCGAAUGUGCCCUUCGGGGGAAAGAUUUAUCGCCUUUAGAGCGGCCCGCGUCUGAUUAGCUAGUUGGUGAGGUAAAGGCUCACCAAGGCGACGAUCAGUACUGGUCUGAGAGGAUGAUCACCACAUUGGGACUGAGACACGGCCCAAACUCCUACGGGAGGCAGCAGUGGGGAAUCUUGCGCAAUGGGCGAAAGCCUGACCCAACCCUGCCGCGUGAAUGA